UAUGGAGUGGCUAUUCUUUAUUCCUUUACUUGCUUUUUUUUUUUUUAAGUGAAAGCAAGUUUAUUAAGAAAGUAAAGGAAUAAAGACUGGCUACUCCAUAGGCAGACCAGCCUAUUCCUUUACUUUCUUAAUAAACUUUCUUUCAUUUUACUCUAUGGACUUGCCCCAAAUUCUUUCUUGCACAAGAUCCAAGAACUCUCUCUUGGGGUCUGGAUCAGGAUCCCUUUCCGAUAACAUCUUCCUGUGGAAUCACAAAGGCACUAUAAUGAGGAGACCCCCGACCCAAAGGGAAUAGACUGCAGCACCAAUUGGCCGACCUUGGGGCAGCUCUCUGCUUUUUUAUCUUGCCCAGAGACCACAUGUUAAAUCUCCUGGUCAGAAGAUCAUUCCACCCAACCCUGAAUGGAUUAAAGUUGACAGGGCCCAACCAGGGGUUCCGUCCUUCCUUGCCAAUGAGACGCCCUACAAAGUUAUUAUGGGCCAGGAUCUUCAGGGGAACCUCGUCAGCCCUUGGGAAGACAAAGGAAGAAGUGGAAGACAAGAGUUCCUUCAAUUGUGGGCUUCAUGAAGACUCAAUCACCAUGCCACCCCAGACUUGGCAUUUCCAAGUAAAACAUCUCAAAACUUAUCAAACUGCAUACUUUAAAAAUAUGUAUGAUUUAUUAUACAUCAAUUGAACAUCAAUAAAGCCAAUUUGUUUUAUUUUUUGAGACAGGGUCUCACUCUAUCACCCAGGCUGGAAUGCAGUGGCACUAUCAAGGCUCACCACAGCCUUGACCUCCUGGGCUCAUGCGAUCCUCCCUUCUCAGCCUUCCGAGUAGCUGGGACUAUACGCACAGGCCGCCACGUCCAGCUGAUUUUUCUAUUUUCUGUAGAGGUGAGGUUUCACUAUGUUGCCCAGGCUGGUCUAGAACUCCUAGCCUCCAAAGUGCUGGGAUUAGAGGCAUGAGCCACCGUGCCCAGCCAAUAAAGCUAUUUUAAACAGCACAAGUGUGUAAAGGAACAUGUGUAAGCAGAUUCCUUGCAUCACUGUUUUCUGAUAAGGAAAAGUUUAAAACAAUUUAAACACCCAUCAAGAAAUAGGAGAUUGAUUACAUGAACUAUGAAUAGCUAUACUGUGGAAUUCUAUGCAGCUAUAAAAAUAAUGCGGUCUGUCCAUAUGUACUAAUAUAUGUGCUGAUACAGAAAAUGAAAAAAGUAUAGAACAGCCUGUUCAGUGUGAUUCUCUCUGAGCUAAAACACAUGUGCAUACACGCACAAGUGAAUACACACAGGCACACAUAUCCGUACAUGCAGGCACGCAGACACAAUAUACACACACCUGUGAGUGCACAGAAUUUCUAGGAGGUCAUACGACAGGAAUAAGAAGGGAUGGGGUGUGGUGGCACACGCCUGUAAUCCCAGCUCUUUGGGAGGCUGAGCUGGGUGGGUCACUUGAGUCCAGGAGUUCAAGACCAGCCUGGGUAACAUGGCGACACCCCAUCUCUACAAAAAUCACAAAAAACUAGGCAGGCGUGGUGGUGCAUGCAUGUUGUCCUAGCUACUCAGAAGGCUGAGGCGGGAGGAUCCCUUGAGAUCCAGAGGCAGAGGUUGCAGUGAGCUGAGAUCAUGCCACUGUACUCCAGCCUAGGUGACAAAGUCCUGUAAGAAGAAAGAUUUUAUUUCUCAGUUUACAUCUUUUUGUGCAAUUGCUGACUGUAUUUCUUAUAUGUCUGUAUAAAAGCUUGAAAGUUGAGUUGGGGAGGCUCAACUGGACUAGCAGACCCUGAAGAUCCAAGAAAAGCUGGAGACUUACGUUUUGGUGUCCUUAGCCUCUUUAUGCAUAAUCUCCAAGAUCAUCUUACAAGCGGAGGAGCAGCCCUCAGGGGUGGAGUGCACACUGAUGGCUUUUUCAGCUGCACCUGCGUUCUCCUUCCUAUGCACGUCUAUCCUGGGGGCCACAAGGACAAGGCUGGUUAGUUGUCCCCAGUGAUACCAGUACUUCAGGCUCCCCACCCCACUACCCCUCCUCAGUCAAAGGCAUAGAACCUGCUCUUCUUGAAACAAGGACAAUCAAGUACAACUUUGGGAAGGGCAAUGAAAGGACUGGAGAAAUAUGACCCGUCUGUUACUGUGGAUUCUGUCUCAGACCAGCAGUGUCUCAAUCCACAGGUGGUUGGUGGCCAGGCACGGGAGCUCACGCCUGUAAUUCCAGCACUUUUG
rnacentral:lncRNA from 10 species